UACGGAGGGGACUAGGGUUGUUCGGAAUUACUGGGCGUAAAGCGCGCGUAGGCGGAUUUGCAAGUCGGGGGUGAAAGCCCGAGGCUCAACCUCGGAACUGCCCUCGAUACUGCAAAUCUCGAGUCCGAGAGAGGUGAGUGGAAUUCCUAGUGUAGAGGUGAAAUUCGUAGAUAUUAGGAAGAACACCAGUGGCGAAGGCGGCUCACUGGCUCGGUACUGACGCUGAGGCGCGAAAGCGUGGGGAGCAAACAGG
rnacentral:rRNA from 1 species